AAUAUGAACUCUUCCGAAUCAAUCUAUCUAGAUGAUCCAACAAGUUUAUUCAAUUUAAGCAAUCAACAAAUACUAGUGAAGGGACCCGCGCUUUGCAGCGGAUAGAAACCGUAGCAGUAAUUAAUAAUAUGAAAAUAUCAAACAUUCUCAUGUGUAUCUCACUUGGUACAUCCACCAAAGGUCUCUCAAUGUUGGCGGAGGAUAUGGACCCGACGAUGCCUUCUUCGGCGAUGGUGAUAGUGACGGCGACAACAAUCCCUCAGACCGCGGCGGAAGGGGAAAGUGGGCGCGCAUUCAUGAGAGAGAGAGAGAGAGAGAGAGAGGAAAGGAGGUGAUGGUGUAUAGCAAAAGAUGAGAGAUAGAGAAUUGAUGAAUAGAUUGAAGAUAAAGAAUUGAAAGUCCAGUGAGGAAAGAAAAAAGGUCAUCAUGAGUAAUUAGAGAUAAAGAUGUUAGGAUUGUAGAUGGUAAUGGCACUCUUUAAAUAUAUGAAUUGGAAGUUAGGUAGUAGGACCGUUUGCAUUAAUUGAAAUAUAAUGGAGGGAAGGGAAAUGGUCAUUAUGAAUAAUUGUAGAUAGAAACGAUACAAUUGAAUACACUACUUGAAAGUUUGAUUAGUGGGACCGUUAAAAUGUAUAUUGAAAAUUUGGUGAAUGAAAGAAGAAGAGUCACAUGUUAGUGAGGGUGAAGAAAAACUUGCCACGUGGCAAUAAAUAUUGGGAAUUCAUAUAGGUUAAUAGAUAAUAUGAUUUUAUAGUUAAAUAAGUAUCUAAGCAAGUUAGAAUAUUCAAUG
rnacentral:lncRNA from 1 species